rnacentral:rRNA from 1 species
ACUCCUACGGGAGGCAGCAGUGGGGAAUAUUGCACAAUGGGGGAAGCCCUGAUGCAGCCAUGCCGCGUGUGUGAAGAAGGCCUUCGGGUUGUAAAGCACUUUCAGUAGGGAGGAAGGUAGUGUAGUUAACACCUGCACUAUUUGACGUUACCUACAGAAGAAGCACCGGCUAACUCCGUGCCAGCAGCCGCGGUAAUACGGAGGGUGCGAGCGUUAAUCGGAAUUACUGGGCGUAAAGCGCAUGCAGGCGGCCUGUUAAGUCAGAUGUGAAAGCCCGGGGCUUAACCUCGGAAUUGCAUUUGAAACUGGCAGGCUAGAGUCUUGUAGAGGGGGGUAGAAUUUCAGGUGUAGCGGUGAAAUGCGUAGAGAUCUGAAGGAAUACCAGUGGCGAAGGCGGCCCCCUGGACAAAGACUGACGCUCAGAUGCGAAAGCGUGGGGAGCAAACAGGAUUAGAUACCCUGGUAGCACAGAG